GAGUUCAUUCAGAUUUGAGCUGCGUCUGAUCUUGUUACGAAUCACCCAGAUUUCAGUUAGAGAUAGAAACUUGAAUAAAUCAAUUGAAACUCUGAAUGUUCCAUUUCUCUGAGUAGAAAUAAUGAUCUCCCAUUCAUUGAGAAGAUUCUUGACACCAAUAGUUAUAUAUUCUAACUCGAGAGCAAGAGCACGCAUAAACAUAUCCUCAUUAGGGUU
rnacentral:lncRNA from 1 species